rnacentral:rRNA from 1 species
AGACUGCGAUGGUUAGCUGGUCUGAGAGGAUGAUCAGCCACACUGGAACUGACACACGGUCCAGACUCCUACGGGAGGCAGCAGUGAGGAAUUUUGCGCAAUGGGGGAAACCCUGACGCAGCAACGCCGCGUGAGUGAAGAAGGCCCUUGGGUCGUAAAGCUCUGUCAAUGGGGAAGAAGUUAUUUAAUGUUAAUAGCAUUAUUUAUUGACGGUACCCAUGAAGGAAGCACCGGCUAACUCCGUGCCGGCAGCCGCGGUAAUACGGGGGGUGCAAGCGUUAUUCGGAAUUAUUGGGCGUAAAGGGCACGCAGGCGGUCCUGUCAGUCAGAUGUGAAAGCCCGGGGCUCAACCCCGGACGUGCAUUUGAAACAGCAGGACUUGAGUACGGGAGAGGAAAGGGGAAUUCCUGGUGUAGAGGUGAAAUUCGUAGAUAUCAGGAGGAACACCGGUGGCGAAGGCGCCUUUCUGGACCGAUACUGACGCUGAGGUGCGAAGGCGUGGGUAGCGAACGGGAUUAGAUACCCCGGUAGUCCACGCAGUAAACGUUGUAUGCUAGGUGUAGCGGGUAUUGACCCCUGCUGCGCCGCAGUUAACACAUUAAGCAUACCGCCUGGGGAGUACGGUCGCAAGACUAAAACUCAAAGAAAUUGACGGGGGCCCGCACAAGCGGUGGAGCAUGUGGUUUAAUUCGACGCAACGCGAAGAACCUUACCCAGACUUGACAUCUUGAGAAUCCUUUAGAAAUUUAGGAGUGCCUUCGGGAGCUCAAAGACAGGUGCUGCAUGGCUGUCGUCAGCUCGCGUCGUGAGAUGUUUGGUUAAGUCCAGCAACGAGCGCAACCCUUGUCUUCAGUUGCCAGCACAUAAUGGUGGGAACUCUGAAGAGACUGCCCCGGUUAACGGGGAGGAAGGUGGGGAUGACGUCAAGUCCUCAUGGCCCUUAUGUCUGGGGCUACACACGUGCUACAAUGGUAUGUACAACGGGCAGCAAGCGUGCGAGCGCAAGCAAAUCCCUUAAAGCAUAUCCCAGUCCGGAUUGGAGUCUGCAACUCGACUCCAUGAAGUUGGAAUCGCUAGUAAUCGUGGAUCAGCAUGCCACGGUGAAUACGUUCCCGGGCCUUGUACACACCGCCCGUCACACCAUGAGAGUUGAUUGUACCCGACGUCACUGGGCCAACCCUUCGGGGGGGCAGGUGCCUAAGGUAUGGUUGAUAAUUAGGGUGAAGUCGUAACAAGGUA